rnacentral:rRNA from 1 species
CUCGUGUCGUGAGAUGUGGGUUAAGUCCCGCAACGAGCGCAAACCCUCGCCUCUAGUUGCCAGCAUUCGGUUGGGCACUCUAGAGGGACUGCCGGCGACAAGUCGGAGGAAGGUGGGGAUGACGUCAAAUCAUCAUGCCCCUUAUGACCUGGGCUACACACGUGCUACAAUGGGCGGUACAAAGGGCUGCGAACCCGCGAGGGGGAGCGAAUCCCAAAAAGCCGCUCUCAGUUCGGAUUGCAGGCUGCAACUCGCCUGCAUGAAGCCGGAAUCGCUAGUAAUCGCGGAUCAGCAUGCCGCGGUGAAUACGUUCCCGGGCCUU